rnacentral:rRNA from 1 species
GACGAACGCUGGCGGCGUGCUUAACACAUGCCAGUCGAACGGAAAGGCCCUGCUUUUGUGGGGUGCUCGAGUGGCGAACGGGUGAGUAACACGUGAGUAACCUGCCCUUGACUUUGGGAUAACUUCAGGAAACUGGGGCUAAUACCGGAUAGGAGCUCCUGCUGCAUGGUGGGGGUUGGAAAGUGUCGGCGGUUGGGGAUGGACUCGCGGCUUAUCAGCUUGGUGGUGGGGUAGUGGCUUACCAAGGCUUUGACGGGUAGCCGGCCUGAGAGGGUGACCGGCCACAUUGGGCCUGAGAUACGGCCCAGACUCCUACGGGAGGCAGCAGUGGGGAAUAUUGCCCAAUGGGCGGAAGCCUGAUGCAGCAACGCCGCGUGCGGGAUGACGGCCUUCGGGUUGUAAACCGCUUUCGCCUGUGACGAAGCGUGAGUGACGGUAAUGGGUAAAGAAGCACCGGCUAACUACGUG